GUUAGCAUUAAAGAAAACCAACCUGGGAGAGGAACUCCAGCCUCCUCCCAGCUCUGCCUCUGUCCCCUGCCCCUUCUGCCAGCUGCUCUGAGACCCUCUCCCUCCCUGGCUCCUCUGCUCUCCCAGCUCCUCCAGCCCUCUCCCUCCUCAUCCUCCCUGCCGUCCCUCUCCCUGUCUGCUUCCAGGACUCUGCUGGCCCCCACGGAGCACUUUGACCUCUGCUCAGCAGCUUUGGACCAGCCCCGCUCCAGCCUCUACUUCCCCUACCAUGGGGCUGCUGAUCGAGGGGUCCCACCUACCCAGAAUGGGUGGCGCGAAGUCUUCCCCAUCGUCAUCCGUGUCAUCCUCCGAGCCACGCGUCUCCCCCAGGCCAUUGGGCAGCUCGGCCAGGUCCCCUCGACUCCCACCGCAGGACUCCCCCUUGUCCAGGGGACCAUCUCCAACCAUCAGGUUGACCUUGAACUUCUGAUCUUUCUGCCUCUACCACAGCCAAUUUCAUGAAGUGCCGGGGAUGAAACCCAGAGUCUGAUGUAUGCUAGGCAAGGACUCAUCAACGGAGCCACACCCCCUAGCCCCAAAAUGCGUCUUUUAAUUUUUCUCAAGUAUAAGUUUUUUCAGCACUACUUAA